rnacentral:rRNA from 2 species
GGAGGAAAGUAGGGGAUCGCAAGACCUUGCGCUAAAGGAGCGGCCGAUGUCUGAUUAGCUAGUUGGUGGGGUAAAGGCUUACCAAGGCAACGAUCAGUAGUUGGUCUGAGAGGACGGCCAACCACACUGGGACUGAGACACGGCCCAGACUCCUACGGGAGGCAGCAGUGGGGAAUUUUGGACAAUGGGCGAAAGCCUGAUCCAGCCAUGCCGCGUGAGUGAAGAAGGCCUUCGGGUUGUAAAGCUCUUUUAGUCGGAAAGAAAGAGUUGCAAUGAAUAAUUGUGAUUUAUGACGGUACCGACAGAAAAAGCACCGGCUAACUACGUGCCAGCAGCCGCGGUAAUACGUAGGGUGCGAGCGUUAAUCGGAAUUACUGGGCGUAAAGGGUGCGCAGGCGGUCUUGCAAGUCAGAUGUGAAAGCCCCGGGCUUAACCUGGGAAUUGCGUUUGAAACUACAAAGCUAG